GCAUUAAAAUGUCUUGGGAUAUACACGUUUAUGUUUGAUUGAAUCCUCUAAAAUGUUUUAUUGGUUUUUCUUCAAAAACUUGCAUGGGAACAAGCCCUUAUGAAAUGUUUUUAUGUUAUGAAAUGGAUAGUGUGAUGAAUUCAUAUGUUUCUGUAUAAUGAUAUAUAUAUAUAUAUAUAUACUAUGUCAUAAAUGGUACCAUUGUGUGACAAAUGCAACCGUGCAUGUGUGGAGUGGGCAAUGCACAUGCCGGUAAUGAUGCUGUCGUGAUAAUACAACCGUGCAUGUGCGGAGUGGGCAGUGCACAUGCUGGUAAUGAUGCUGUCAUGAUAAUUACAAUCGUGCAUGUAUAGAGUGGGUAGUGCACAUGCCGGUAAUGGUGAUGUAGUGAUAAUUAUAACCGUGCAUGUGCGAAGUGGGCAGUGCACAUGCCGGUAAUGAUGCUGUCAUGAUAAUUACAACCGUGCAUGUGCGGAGUGGGCAGUGCACAUGCUGGUGAUGAUGUACAUGAGCUAGAUGAGGUGUGGUGGUAUAUUAAUUGAUAUAUGCUUAAGCAUAUGUAUAUGCAAUAGAAAGAUUAUGAUUAUAAUAUGUGAUUAUAUGGCAUGAUAAAUCUUGAAAAUUUCCCAUUUACAUGUGAAUUGAUUUUAUUGCAACA
rnacentral:lncRNA from 1 species